rnacentral:rRNA from 1 species
AGGGUUCGAUUCUGGCUCAGGACGAACGCUGGCGGCGUGCCUAACACAUGCAAGUCGAGCGGGGACAUUGCGACAGAGACGAAGUACUCGUACGGAGUCAAAGAUGUAAUGUCUAGCGGCGGACGGGUGAGUAACGCGUGAGCAACCUGUCCCUUACAGGGGGAUAACACAGCGAAGGUUGUACUAAUACCGCAUAAGACCACAGAGUGACAUCGCUCAGGGGUCAAAGGAGCAAUCCGGUAAGGGGUGGGCUCGCGUCCGAUUAGAUAGUUGGUGAGGUAACGGCCCACCAAGUCGACGAUCGGUAGCCGACCUGAGAGGGUGAUCGGCCACAUUGGGACUGAGACACGGCCCAAACUCCUACGGGAGGCAGCAGUGGGGAAUAUUGGGCAAUGGGGGGAAACCCUGACCCAGCAACGCCGCGUGAGGGAAGAAGGUUUUCGGAUCGUAAACCUCUGUCCCAGGUGAAGAGGAAGAGACGGUAGCCUGGGAGGAAGCCCCGGCUAACUACGUGCCAGCCGCCGC